UGGGGAAUAUUGCACAAUGGGCGGAAGCCUGAUGCAGCGACGCCGCGUGGGGGAUGACGGCCUUCGGGUUGUAAACCCCUUUCGCCCGGGACGAAGCGAGAGUGACGGUACCGGGAGAAGAAGCACCGGCCAACUACGUGCCAGCAGCCGCGGUAAUACGUAGGGUGCAAGCGUUGUCCGGAAUUAUUGGGCGUAAAGAGCUCGUAGGCGGUGUGUCGCGUCUGCCGUGAAAACCUGCGGCUUAACCGUGGGCGUGCGGUGGAUACGGGCACACUUGAGUUCGGUAGGGGAGACUGGAAUUCCUGGUGUAGCGGUGGAAUGCGCAGAUAUCAGGAGGAACACCAGUGGCGAAGGCGGGUCUCUGGGCCGAAACUGACGCUGAGGAGCGAAAGCGUGGGGAGCGAACAGGAUUAGAUACCCUGGUAGUCCACGCCGUAAACGGUGGGCGCUAGGUGUGGGAUGCUGUUCACGUGUCCCGUGCCGUANCUAACGCAUUAAGCGCCCCGCCUGGGGAGUACGGCCGCAAGGCUA
rnacentral:rRNA from 1 species